UACGGGGGGGGCAAGCGUUGUUCGGAAUUACUGGGCGUAAAGGGCUCGUAGGCGGCCAACUAAGUCAGGCGUGAAAUCCCUCGGCUUAACCGGGGAACUGCAUCUGAUACUGGAUGGCUUGAGAUUGGGAGAGGGAUGCGGAAUUCCAGGUGUAGCGGUGAAAUGCGUAGAUAUCUGGAGGAACACCGGUGGCGAAGGCGGCAUCCUGGACCAACACUGACGCUGAGGAGCGAAAGCCAGGGGAGCAAACGGG
rnacentral:rRNA from 1 species